rnacentral:lncRNA from 1 species
CAGCGUCUAGCAAUAUGCCCAUAUUGAUCUCAACUAAUUUAGAAAGUUCAGGCGAUCACAGCUUGGCCAAAGGGCAUUCAAAGAACAAUUGAGAAAUAUCACCAACAAGGUCGUGCCUAUCACACUGCCUAUUGGGGCUAAGAAACCCAAUAAACACAUGAGACCUGAAGGGAAUUUCAGUUUGCAAGAGAGCAGGAGUUGUACACCAUAAUCCCAGAAGAGUAUAUCUCAGGACAAUAACAUCCUUUCUACCAGCAAACGAUAUAGAAGAUGUUAUAUGCAGCAAUCCAUGCCACAAAACCAUGAGCCUCCAAAACCGUCAACUGGGCAUUACAAAUUCUCCCGGCAGUCGAUUUUGAGUGCACUCAACUCUGACAAAGGAACUCAAGUUUUUCGCCAGCACAAAUAGAACAAAAGCACGUCCACCCUAACCGAACUGUUCAGCACAACCAGCAACAAAUUAGACUGAAGUUCACUUCAAAUUCAAGAUGUGGACCGUGUUGUGUUAGGGUGGGGAAACAUGGAUAGAUGAACCAUGCUCCAGAACAGAUCAACAAGCAAGUUGAGACUGCUCUUAGAUCAACCAUGGUCCUUGGCCUCUCGUCCAAUUGACAGACUGCUGCAGCUACACCAUCGUCGAUGGCUCCUUGGCCUAUGUGAUUAAAUAAAUUAGGAAAGAAAGAGGAUCAAAUUCUGGUGAUGGUUAAGGUGAUCUUUAUUGUACCAUCGCCGGUGAGGGGUCGGCGACGCC